rnacentral:rRNA from 1 species
GAUGAACGCUGGCGGCGUGCCUAACACAUGCAAGUCGAGCGUGAACCCUGCGAAUGAAACUUCGGUCGAUUUUUGCAGGGGGAAAGCGGCGGACGGGUGAGUAACGCGUAGGUAACCUGCCCCAUACUGAGGGAUAGCCUCGGGAAACCGGGAUUAAUACCUCAUAACACCGUAUAUUCGCAUGGAUGUGCGGUCAAAGAUUUAUCGGUAUGGGAUGGGCCUGCGUCUGAUUAGCUGGUUGGUGGGGUAACGGCCUACCAAGGCGACGAUCAGUAGCCGACCUGAGAGGGUGAUCGGCCACAUUGGAACUGAGACACGGUCCAAACUCCUACGGGAGGCAGCAGUGGGGAAUAUUGCACAAUGGGCGAAAGCCUGAUGCAGCAACGCCGCGUGAGCGAAGAAGGCCUUUGGGUCGUAAAGCUCUGUCGGGUAGGAAGAUAAUGACGGUACUACCCGAGGAAGCCCCGGCUAACUACGUG